rnacentral:rRNA from 1 species
UACGAAGGGGGCUAGCGUUGCUCGGAAUCACUGGGCGUAAAGCGCGCGCAGGCGGCGAUCUACGUCUGGGGUGAAAGCCCGGAGCUCAACUCCGGGACUGCCUUGGAUACGGGAUCGCUUGAGGAUUGGAGAGGCAAGGGGAAUUCCACGUGUAGCGGUGAAAUGCGUAGAUAUGUGGAGGAACACCUGUGGCGAAGGCGCCUUGCUGGCCAAUUUCUGACGCUGAGGCGCGAAAGCGUGGGGAGCAAACGGG